UUUUGCCAGGCUCUGUUGCCUUGACUUCGGAGGGCGCUGUGGGAGUGGAGAAGCCGCAAGUGCUGAGGCGCGGUGGAGGAAGGCAUGGGAGGCAAGAGCGUGAGGAGCUGGUGUCUGUGUCAGAUUUGUACCUGCGGAUCAAGGGACGAGGACGCUGCGACAUCCCCACUUAUCCCGCUCCACGAAUACUCGCUCCGCACCCGCCGGCUACCUGGGGGUAAAACAUUUCUUCGUAGCCCCUGAGACUCCCAAUCAAGGAUGCAAAGUAAAAUGCCAUCCAGGCCGGGUAAAUAAUAUAUGUGAAGCAGCGACGGGAUAUAAUAAGACUGGUGAGUAGUGGGAUGUGAUCCGACUGGAAGAAUGCAUUUCCACCCCGUCAUCCCCCACCACAAAGGCGACAUCAUUGUCCACAUGGAAUCACAAGGAUUUAUGAAAAUUCUGGGGUAUUUUGCCCCACAACUGAGUAUUUGGAAAAAUAUCCUAUGUAUGACAAUGUUCUUCCAGCUCAGAGUCUUAAACCCAAGCAAGAAAUUCGAGCAUUCCGUGGUAAAAUGGAAGGAAUAACUACAUUUAAGUAAAUAUUUAGUAACUAUUUGCCUUAUUUAUUUUUCUUCCAACUCUUCUGGUGUCAAUGAAGUUUUCUAGCUAUUUAAAUUACUGUUUAGUUGAUUUAAGUUGAACCAAUUUAAUAGGCAACAGACUAGUUAAGUCACGACUUGAAAAAAAAAAACAGAAAAAUACGAAUUAAGUUAGGCUGACAAAGUGUGAGAAGAAAAAAGGGAUAUAAAAAGUUCUAUUUUUUUAACUUCCUAAAAUAUCUCGUAUUUAUCUACUUUCCACUGUUACCACCACCUAGACCAGGGUGUCGUGUCUUUUGGCUUCACUGGGCCACAUUGGCAGAAUAAUUGUCUUGGGCCACACAUAAAAUACAAUAACACCAACCAUAGCUGAUGAGCUAAAAAAAAAAAAAAAA